rnacentral:rRNA from 1 species
AACGAGCGCUGGCGGCAUGCCUAACACAUGCAAGUCGAACGAGACCUUCGGGUCUAGUGGCGCACGGGUGCGUAACGCGUGGGAACCUGCCCUUAGGUUCGGAAUAACUCCCCGAAAGGGGUGCUAAUACCGGAUAAUGUCUUCGGACCAAAGAUUUAUCGCCUUUGGAUGGGCCCGCGUUGGAUUAGCUAGUUGGUAGGGUAAAAGCCUACCAAGGCGACGAUCCAUAGCUGGUCUGAGAGGAUGAUCAGCCACACUGGGACUGAGACACGGCCCAGACUCCUACGGGAGGCAGCAGUGGGGAAUAUUGGACAAUGGGCGAAAGCCUGAUCCAGCAAUGCCGCGUGAGUGAUGAAGGCCUUAGGGUUGUAAAGCUCCUUUACCCGGGAUGAUAAUGACAGUACCGGGAGAAUAAGCUCCGGCUAACUCCGU